AUCCUGCUGUCGCUCAUAAACAUGAUGUUUGAGUUUUCAUACUAUAGUGUGAAAUAUUCCUGCCUCAAGUCUCAGUACAUCAUCAACACACUACCCAUCAGAUG
ensembl:snoRNA